rnacentral:rRNA from 1 species
AGUGAACGCUGGCGGUAGGCCUAACACAUGCAAGUCGAACGACAGCACAGUAAGAGCUUGCUCUUACGGGUGGCGAGUGGCGGACGGGUGAGGAAUACAUCGGAAUCUACUUUUUCGUGGGGGAUAACGUAGGGAAACUUACGCUAAUACCGCAUACGACCUACGGGUGAAAGCAGGGGAUCUUCGGACCUUGCGCGAUUGAAUGAGCCGAUGUCGGAUUAGCUAGUUGGCGGGGUAAAGGCCCACCAAGGCGACGAUCCGUAGCUGGUCUGAGAGGAUGAUCAGCCACACUGGAACUGAGACACGGUCCAGACUCCUACGGGAGGCAGCAGUGGGGAAUAUUGGACAAUGGGCGCAAGCCUGAUCCAGCCAUACCGCGUGGGUGAAGAAGGCCUUCGGGUUGUAAAGCCCUUUUGUUGGGAAAGAAAAGCAGCAGGUUAAUACCCCGCUGUUCUGACGGUACCCAAAGAAUAAGCACCGGCUAACUUCGU